GACGAACGCUGGCGGCGUGCUUAACACAUGCAAGUCGAACGGGACGGCCCUGCUUGCAGGGUACUCGAGUGGCGAACGGGUGAGUAACACGUGGGUGAUCUGCCCCGCACUUCGGGCUAAGCUUGGGAGACUGGGUCUAAUACCGGAGAGGAGCCAUCUUCAGAGUGGUGGUUGGAAAGUUUUUUCGGUGUGGGAUGAGCUCGCGUGCGAUCAGCUUGUUGGUGGGGUAAUGGCCUACCAAGGCGGCGACGGGUAGCCGGCCUGAGAGGGUGUACGGCCACACUGGACCUGAGAUACGGCCCCGAUUCCUACGGGAGGCAGCAGUGGGGAAUAUUGCACAAUGGGCGCAAGCCUGAUGCAGCGACGCCGCGUGGGGGAUGAAGGCCUUCGGGUUGUAAGCUCCUGUCGCUAGGGACGAGGCUGGUUUGUGACGGUACCUGGAUAAGAAGCACCGGCUAACUACGUG
rnacentral:rRNA from 1 species